UGGAGUGAUGCCUCUCAACUA
rnacentral:siRNA from 1 species